rnacentral:rRNA from 1 species
GAAUAUUCCGCAAUGCGCGAAAGCGUGACGGAGCAAUGCCGCGUGUGGGAUGAAGCAUCUAGGUGUGUAAACCACUGUCAGGGUUUAGGAAGUUCUGACCAGACCCAAAGGAAGAGCCGGCCAACUCUGUGCAAGCAGCCGCGGUAAUACAGAGGGCUCGAGCGUUAAUCGGCAUCACUGGGCUUAAAGGGUCCGCAGGCGGACUAGCAAGUACCUUGUGAAAUACCAUGGCUCAACCAUGGAAUUGCUUGGUAAACUGCUAGUCUUGAACACGGUAGGGGCCAUCGGAACUCUAGGUGGAGCGGUGAAAUGCGUAGAUAUCUAGAGGAACGCCAGAGGCGAAGGCGGAUGGCUGGGCCGUUGUUGACGCUCAGGGACGAAAGCGUGGGUAGCGAACGGG